AUUGAACGCUGGCGGCAUGCCUUACACAUGCAAGUCGAACGGUAACAGGUCUUCGGAUGCUGACGAGUGGCGAACGGGUGAGUAAUACAUCGGAACGUGCCUAGUAGUGGGGGAUAACUACUCGAAAGAGUGGCUAAUACCGCAUGAGAUCUACGGAUGAAAGCAGGGGAUCGCAAGACCUUGUGCUACUAGAGCGGCCGAUGGCAGAUUAGGUAGUUGGUGGGAUAAAAGCUUACCAAGCCGACGAUCUGUAGCUGGUCUGAGAGGACGAUCAGCCACACUGGGACUGAGACACGGCGCCGACGCCUACGGGAGGCAGCAGUGGGGAAUUUUGGACAAUGGGCGAAAGCCUGAUCCAGCAAUGCCGCGUGCAGGAUGAAGGCCUUCGGGUUGUAAACUGCUUUUGUACGGAACGAAAAGCCCCGGGUUAAUACCCUGGGGUCAUGACGGUACCGUAAGAAUAAGCACCGGCUAACUACGUGCCAGCAGCCGCCGCCG
rnacentral:rRNA from 1 species